GGGAGGAGGCAGAACAAUGGAACAAGAUUAACCUGAAAGCAAAGCUGAUCACCUAGUCGCAUCUGAUAGGUCUUACCGUUUGUUUCCAGAAUUAAACAUUCAGCAGGACACUUUCACCAUUAAUGGUCGGGGGAGUUAUGACCCCAUCAGGUUGUUGCCUUGGUUUGUCUGUCUGGUGGUUUUAUUUUCUGCUAUUUAUCCACAGGCAACUGUACUUAUUGCCCUUUAUUAUCUGUCUCAUGAAUCUGGCAUGACUGGCACAAAGUAUGUAAGUAGGUAUUUCAUCAUACAGUGUACAUUUGAUAAUAAGUAUCCUGAAACCAGCAUCACGAACACAAAGCACAAUAAGCACAGCAUAUGUCCAUCUUACACCCCGCUAUAAAGCUGGACAUUUUAAUGAUUUAAUUCAGGAUAAAAACCUGGUUGGGUUCAUGCCCCCAGAUACCUUUUCACAUCUGAAACUUAACAGGAGUAGCCACUAAAGAGUGUCAGGCCCCCAGUCUUCGAUCGGCCAAUUUCACCGCCGGGACCAGGCAGUGAGGGACCCCGAGGAGGCCCAGGACCUGCCGGGACCCCUGUCUCACCACGGCAGGUACCACAUCUUCCGCUGGCUCAGUGGCUCCAAGAUGUUAUUGCACAACCUGACUCAUUCACGCAACUAGUGUGGUGAUUUUGUUUUCAUCUACAACCUGCACCAUCCAAUGUGCUUAGCAACAUUUUCAGUAUCAGCACAACCUAUUUGCUCUAUGUGAGCUCUGAUCUAUUCUACUGUGGCAGACUGCUGCUCAAAGUAGGGUGAUUUUUUUUUGUCCAGACAAACAUUAACAGAGCACCCUAUUAUCGUUAUUUUGCGACAGGGCACAUUUACUAACUAAAAGCACUUCAUGUACAGAAAAAAAACUAUGCUAUUGUAAGCACCCCAGCUGACAAUGAAAAUAAUGCCGUCAAACCAGACCCUAAAAAACUGGUGUGUAACAUGCUUUUGGUGCCGCCAUGAUUCAUGACAGCCGUAUAUCAUGACCGUCUAGUCUGGGACAACUGAGCUUCUGUUUAUUAUUUAUUUACUUAUUACUAACCUAAAAACUAAUUUCCCUUUGAUAUAUAUCUAAAAGACACAUUCUGCGCAUUAACAAUACUACAGUGGCAAUGCGUAUUUGCAUUUUGCUGGAAUAUGAAAAGCACCUCGCCGCUGCCGGCACAGGCAGACUGAGGACUGCAGCAACCCCUCCCGCCCCCCGAUCGCCCCUCAGGCAGAAGCUGCCAGGGGAGAGCAGGUCACCAUCCGGGAAGCGUUCUGCUGCAAAGCCGAUUAAAUGCGAAACAAAUCCGCAGCGCUGUCCCCGUACGGAACAAGGUUAACAUCGGCCACGGCACCAUCCUUCUCAGGAACAGGGACGAGACCUUUGAUAACAUCCUGCUUCUGGCAGAGGGGUGUGGCCUCCGCAGCCAGCAGAGGGCAAGGGGUCCGAUGUUGCUGUGUCCAUGGCAACAGAACCAUGACAGUCACUGAACAGGUGUGGCAUCAAACACAGGGGACUUGGGAGGGGGAUCACCAUCAUGUACCGAAGAAAAAUAAAAAGACGCUAUUGUCU